GAGGGAGGAAUAUCCGCGCGUGUGGUUGUUGUCAGCACGUGUUCGCGUGUUGACCUCUCGAGUGGCUGGCAACCACACAGGAACGACACGCGUGGUCGUGCACUCGACACG
rnacentral:ribozyme from 1 species